AUAACAUUUCGGCCGUCGGUCUACCGAGCAAUUUCACCAGCUUGGUAGAAGAUUCUUUGCCGU
rnacentral:pre_miRNA from 1 species